GAACCUGCGGAAGGAUCAUUA
rnacentral:ncRNA from 267 species